rnacentral:rRNA from 1 species
UGGGGAAUAUUGGACAAUGGGCGAAAGCCUGAUCCAGCCAUGCCGCGUGUGUGAAGAAGGCCUUAUGGUUGUAAAGCACUUUAAGCGAGGAGGAGGGUACUGGUAUUAAUACUACCAGGUACUGGACAUUACUCGCAGAAUAAGCACCGGCUAACUCUGUGCCAGCAGCCGCGGUAAUACAGAGGGUGCGAGCGUUAAUCGGAUUUACUGGGCGUAAAGCGUGCGUAGGCGGCUAAUUGAGUCGGAUGUGAAAUCCCCGAGCUUAACUUGGGAAUUGCAUUCGAUACUGGUUAGCUAGAGUGUGGGAGAGGAUGGUAGAAUUCCAGGUGUAGCGGUGAAAUGCGUAGAGAUCUGGAGGAAUACCGAUGGCGAAGGCAGCCAUCUGGCCUAACACUGACGCUGAGGUACGAAAGCAUGGGGAGCAAACAGG